rnacentral:rRNA from 1 species
GAUGAACGCUGGCGGCGUGCCUAAUACAUGCAAGUCGAGCGAACAGACGAGGAGCUUGCUCCUCUGACGUUAGCGGCGGACGGGUGAGUAACACGUGGAUAACCUACCUAUAAGACUGGGAUAACUUCGGGAAACCGGAGCUAAUACCGGAUAAUAUAUUGAACCGCAUGGUUCAAUAGAGAAAGACGGUUUUGCUGUCACUUAUAGAUGGAUCCGCGCCGCAUUAGCUAGUUGGUAAGGUAACGGCUUACCAAGGCAACGAUGCGUAGCCGACCUGAGAGGGUGAUCGGCCACACUGGAACUGAGACACGGUCCAGACUCCUACGGGAGGCAGCAGUAGGGAAUCUUCCGCAAUGGGCGAAAGCUUGACGGAGCAACGCCGCGUGAGAGAUGAAGGUCUUCGGAUCGUAAAACUCUGUUAUUAGGGAAGAACAAAUGUGUAAGUAACUAUGCACGUCUUGACGGUACCUAAUCAGAAAGCCACGGCUAACUACGUG